UCUGUGUCCUAUGCCGUCAUCACUCACCAUUGCCCUUCUCUUUGCAUUUCUUGAUCGGUCGCUUCCUAUCGCUUUCAUGCGGAAGGUUCCCCCUACCGGCCUGAAAGAAAGAAUGGUUUUUAGAUAGAGCGUUGGCUAUGGCGCCAUUUGCGAAGGAAUGGGUUUAUGCGCUUUCUUUACUACUAUGCUAUUUCUCCCGUCUCGGACGUGAUUCGUAUUUGAUGCUCUUAUCGGAUUGGGUGCUUGAUUCCUUAGCUGAGCUAAUGAUUUAGAUGCGGAAUCUGAGCUAAUGGCUCACUUCACUACCUUAAGCGGAGCUAACUACAGGCCAAAAUAUACUGCAAUCACCCAGACCUUUCUAAUACUGAAAACCUGUAUACGAAAUUUCUUCAGUUGCUUACUCGGCCUAAGCAAGCCUGACCGAACACCCGAAAGAAGUUCUUUCUCCAUCGAACGGGAAUGGACGAAGAACGAGGAGGCAUUCUUCAUAGAGAAGAGCCCUGAGAAAUUUCACGAUAACUGAAGAGGGAAUGCGGCUCUUGAUUCCUUAGCUAAGCUAAUGAUUUAGAUGCGGAAUCUGAGCUAAUGGCUCACUUCACUACCUUAAGCGGAGCUAACUACAGGCCAAAAUAUACUGCAAUCACCCAGACCUUUCUAAUACUGAAAACCUGUAUACGAAAUUUCUUCAGUUGCUUACUCGGCCUAAGCAAGCCUGACCGAACACCCGAAAGAAGUUCUUUCUCCAUCGAACGGGAAUGGACGAAGAACGAGGAGGCAUUCUUCAUAGAGAAGAGCCCUGAGAAAUUUCACGAUAACUGAAGAGGGAAUGCGGCAUUACUACUGCUCACUUCACUACCUUAAGCGGAGCUAACUACAGGCCAAAAUAUACUGCAAUCACCCAGACCUUUCUAAUACUGAAAACCUGUAUACGAAAUUUCUUCAGAAACAUUUUCUGGGGCUUUACAUUCUCACCCACUUACAAUCAUUCGUCCUCGAAUGUGGAUGAAGGCUCAUCAUUAGCCAUCCUUUAUGUAACUUGAGAUUGUUUUUUCACAUCAUGAAAUAUAUCAACAGCCGCGAAUUUGGCUAACUUUUUAAAUUUCCAAAAAUUUCGCAAGAGUUUCCAAUGUAACUAUGUCUAUCCACCUAUCAUAGAGCCCCAGAUACAUAUCCUAACAUCAUAUACAUGUUUCAUAGACAUAACAUUACUUGUACAACACCAACCAUGGUCGUAUAGGCAACAUAUAUAACUAUAAUGGAAUAGUUUAACAUAGAUAAAAUCAAAAGGUAAGAGUUCAUAAAAUAGGAGCAUAAAAGAUAUUACAUGACUACUCAAACAAAUGUGGGUACUUCUUUCUCAUUUCAUCCUCGUCUUACCAAGUGGCUUUCUCAACCUGUUCGUUCCGCCAUAACACUUUUACAAAGGCAAUUUCCUUAUUUCUCAAUUUUCAGACUAGCCUAUCAAGAAUGGUAACUGGAAUUUCUUCUUACAAUAUUUCUUCAUUAACCUUAAUAGCUUUAAUUGGCAUAAUAGCGAACGAAUUUCCUACUAUCUUCUUCAACAUAGACACAUAGAAGACCGGAUGUACCGAUGACAUCUCGGGUUGCAGCUCAAUCUUGUAUGCCACCUGACCAAUCAACUGAAUGAAUAUGUAUGGUCUGACAUACCUCGGACUUAAUUUCCCUUUAUUCCCAAAUCGCAUUAUGCCCUUUAUGCGGGAAACCUUCAAAAAUACACAAUCUUCUUCUUUGAAGUCCAAAUCAGUGCGACGAAUGUUUGAAUAAGACUUUUGGAGACUCUGAGCAGUUUUAAACCUCUCCAUAGCUUGAUGCACGUGGUCUGGCCCUAUUAAUUCUACAUCUCCAACCUCGAACUACCCAAUAUGAGACCUAUAUCUCCUACAAUAUAGUGCCUCAAAUGGUGCUAUCUGGAUACUACUAUGGAAGUUGUUGUUGUAAGCAAAUUCUAUGAGUGGAAAAUGGUCAUCCCAACUACCUUUGAAAUCAAUAGUACAAGCACGCAACAUGUCCUCAAGCGUCUGAAAAAUCCGAUCUACCUGCCUGUCGAUUUGAGGAUGGAAAGUUGUCCUGAGAUCUACCUGUGUGCGCAAACCCUGCUUAUAUUUCUUCCAAAAGUUUGUUUUGAACUGAGCUUCUCAAUCUAAAAUGAUUUAGACUGGAAUACCAUGCAACCUGACUAUUUCUAUGAUAUACAACUAAGCAUAAUGUUCCGAUGUGUCGCUAGAUUAAAAUGGCAAGAAGUGUGUUGAAUUCAUGAGUCGAUCCAUGAUCACCCAAAUUGAGUUAAACUUGCACGAAGUGCGCGGCAACCCAUGACCAAUAUAGAUGUUGAUCAUCUCUCAUUUCCACAUUGGAAUUUCUAUGCUUUGAGCCAAUCCACCAGAUCUUUAAUGUUCGGCCUUACUUGCUGACAAUUCGGACAUCUAGCCACAAAGUUCUCCAUACCCCUUUUCAUGUCAUUCCACCAAUAAAUUUCCUUGAGAUUAUGAUACAUUUUCAUCGAACAUUGGUCCACAAAAUACCUGGAAGUGUGAGCAUCUACCAUGAUCCUUUACCGAAGACCGUCAAUAUCUGAAACACAUAGGCGGCCUUGCUACCAUAGGGUACCAUCAUCUAUGCCAAGGGAAAAAGUUUUCUUCUUGUAUUUCUGAAUCCCACUUUCAGUUGUUCCAACAAUGGAUCGUUGAUUGCUUCUCUUUCACUUCUGUCCCAAGCAAUGAUUCAGCCCUAUUCUGCACAAUCACUCCUCCUUCAUUUGAGUUCACUAGAGAAUACAAAAACUAGACAACUAAUGAACCUACCUUGCCAACAGCCUCUGAUAUGCCUCUAAAUAAGCCAAGCUCCCCAUAGAUUUUUGACAAAGAGCAUCCGCUACAACAUUAGGCUUUCCCUUGUGAUAGAGAAUAUUAAUGUGAUAGUCCUUAUGUAACUCUAGCAAUCUUAUAUGUCUAUGAUUCAACUCCUUCUGCCUGAAAGUAUAAUGAUGACUCGUGUGGUCCGUAAAUGCAUCCAAAUGCACGCCAUACAAAUAAUGUCUCCAAUUCUUUAGUGCAAAAGCCACUGCCGCAAGCUCUAAGUCAUGGGUCGGAUAGUUCUAUUUCAUAUUUCUUGAGUUGCCUAGAAGCGUAUGUUAUAACCUUUCCAUGUUUCAUUAACACACACCCAAGACCGUUCUUUGAAGCAUCACAAUACACCAAAAAUCCCUUUGUACCCUCUUGCAGGGUUAAUACUGGCACUAUAGUCAGUUUUGAGUUCAAUUCGUGGAAAAUCCUUUCACAAGCAUUGGACCAUUGCAAUUUAAAUGCUUUCUGGUUCAAUUUAAGAAAUGGAGAGGCAAGAGUCGAAAACCCCUCCAGAAAUGCUCUCUGGUUCAAUUUGCAAAUCUCUAUUGGAGUGGUAGGUCUGGCCAAUUCUUCGCUGCUGCAAUCUUAUGAGGAUCAACCAUAACUCGUCCCCUGGAGUCGACAUGACCAAGAACGCAGUGAAUUCAAGCCAGAAUUUGCAUUUUGGAAAUUUUGCAUAUUGUUGAUGUUGCCGAUGGUUAGCAUGAUCUUCUCGACCUUGGGAAUAUUCUAGAAUAUCGACAAUGAAUACUACCACAAAUGAGUCUAGAAAAGGCUUGAAGACUCGAUUCAUAAGAUCCAUGAAAGCUUAUGGGGAAUUCGUUAGCCUAAAAGACAGCACCAAAAAUUCAAAGUGCCUAUACCGAGUUCUGAAAGCUAUUUGUGGAAUAUCCUGCUCCUUUAUCUUUAACUGAUGAUACCCGGACCCCAAGUAAUUCUAUAAGAAACACGUAGCACCCUGCAAUUGAUCAAACAUGUCAUCAAUUCCUUGGUAGAGGGUAUUUGUUUUUUAUUGUGACUUUUUCAGUUGUCAGUAGUCAAUACACAUCUGCAGCGACCCAUCUUGCUAUGCCCCAUGGUGACACACUCAGCCGGAUGAAACCUCUUUCUAACAAAUCCUUCAAUUAUUCCUUUAACUCUUUCAGUUCAGCCGAUGUCAUUCUGCAAGGUGGAAUUGAUACUGGUUGUGUGCCUGGCAUGACAUCGAUCCCAAAAUCAAUCUCCUUGUCUGGCAAAAUCCCAGGGAGCUCAUCUAAAAAGAUAUCUGAAAAUUCAUUCACAAUUAAUACAGACUCAAGGCCAGGUGCCUCCGUAUUUGUGUCUAUAACCCGAACUAAAUAAUGGAUACACCACUUUUGAUCAUAUUUGCGGCCGUAAGGUAAGAAAUAAACCACCUUUAGUCACUAUAUUAUCUCCCUUCCAUUCAACAACGAGAUCGUUUUGAAAUUCAAGCCUCAUAAUUCUAGUUUGGAAAUCAAGUUUGGAAAAGCAUUAAUAAAGCCAAUCCAUUACUAUUACUAUAUAAAAAUCGACCAUCCCUAAUUCAAUAAGAUCGAUUUUGGUAUCCCCGCCGUGUACCGUAAUGACACAACCUCUAUAAACUUGAGUAGCGUAAUAGUCUCACCCACCAUAGUAGACACUGAAAAUGACUCAAAAAGCUGAUCCGAUUCUAUCCCAAAUUCCAUUACAAUAAAAUGGUUAACAUAGGACAAGGUGGACCUGGGGUGAAUAAGUACAUACACAUUAUGAUGUUGGACAGUUAGAAUACCUGUAACAACAUCUGAAGAAGCAUCUACGGUCUAGCGACCACUCAUAGCAUAGAACCAGUUGGGUCCUCCUGAACUAUACGUGCCACCCUAGCUGCACCACACUUUGCGGGUGCUGGGGUACCUCGAGCUGGAGAGGGGGGCUGAGGAUGUAAAAGCCUCUGGACUGGACGACUGUUUUGUGCUCUUACCCGCUCCCAUGCAGGAUGUAUGACAAUGCCUCUGAAUGUGGCCCAUCAUUCCGCAUCCAUAACAUACGGUUAACUCCAAGUAGCAAACUAUUGAAUGUAUCUUCCGCAGGUGGGGCACGAAGACCUCUACUGCUGCUGGGAUUUCUCUCCUAACCGACCCGACUAAUAAGAUCCUCUACUCCCUGAUUGGGCCUGAAACGACUCCACUGGUGCUGCUGGCUGGGCCCUGAUGAUGGUGCACUGGCUAAAGACUGUGCAACAGACUGGGACGGCCCUAUUCAUCCUCGCCUGAAAGCUAAUCUUCCCCUACCGAAUGACUCACCCAUGUUGCCCGUAGACCGGGUAUUUUUGGUACCCUCUCUCUCCAUUAUGUUCUUCAAUUUAUGAUUCUUUGUGGCCUGAGCAAAUGCCACCAUCUUGCCAUAAUUCAUGUCAGAAUUCAAUGUAGUUGUAGAAGCCUCUUUAAUUGUUAAAGGAUUGAGACCCUGAAAAAACCGACGCACUGUAGCCCCCAUUAUCGGCAACGUAUGAAUAGCAUAUUUAGAAAGAUGAGAAAACUCCAUAUAGUAUUCCCACACACUUCUGCUACCCUGCAUUAGAUUCUCAAACUCUGCUGCACUUGCUGCCCUUGUCACGGCACACAAGAAAUGAUCUAUAAAGGCAUCAGCAAACUCGUACCACCUCGCCAGAGGGCUCCCCUCCUCAAAGGAAUCUUCCUACAGCUCAAAGCACAUAUAGGCCACCUCUUUCAGGCAGUAGGAAGCCAACUCUACUCCCUCUAUCUCAAUUGCACGCAUAACCCUAAGGUUCUUGUGCAUCUAAUCAAUAAAAUCUUGAGGGACGAACUGAAGAAAUAUAUUCACACUCGAACUAAUAGAAUCCCUUUUCUUGUUAGAUGAACUAGGCGCUGCAUUUGACCUCUAGGCUUGAGAGGCCUCUAGCUGGGUUAACAUCUGAAUAGCUCCCCUAAGAUCCCCAUUAGAAAUACCAAAACUGGAAGCUCGGGCUGGGGGUGGAAUAGAAGUAUCAAUGAGAGGGGUAGUAGUACCCUCCGUAGGUGUAGGAACUGGGGUAGUCUGCUCUGGAAUAGAAGAACCAGGCAGGGUGAUAGGAGGGCGACUACCAUCACCCGUAGUGUUAAGCAAUGAAUCACCAGCCACUUUUGAGGUGGUAUUGGCUUCUUGCCCCAUUCUCGCUUUCUUCUUAGCUGCCAUUUACUGAAAGAUAGAACAAUGCACUAAUUAGAGAGGGAAUAGUUUCGUAACAAGUUGGACCGCACGUUCCAGAAUAUCAAAGAAGGGUGUUAUUCCUAAAUGUGCAAGUAGCCUCCAACUUAUCGAUGUUGUGGACUACACCCGAUAAGAAGGACUCUACUAGGCACGACUCUGAGAAAUCCUAGGACAACUUAAAACCUUAGGCUCUGUUUCAAGUUUGUCCUGCCCCAAUCUCUGGUGGCGCAACCGGUGCUCAAUCGAGUGAACCCAAUGAGCUAGCCUAAUCAAACACUUUCUACACAUCUAAAUAUGAAUAAGGAAGCCAUGCUUUCAUUUAUUUAGACAAUAGAAAAGAUAGUACAUUCAACACGAUUAGUUAUUUUUAUAUCACAACCUUAAAGAGUAGUUAAGUUUUCAAGAUUCUAUACAAUUACACUUUAGAGAUGCGAGAGCUAUAAUUCCAAAAUAGUUCGUAGACUCAUCCAACACCUGUACAUAACCCACACAUAUGUUUAAGGAGCCUCUAAUGAUGCAAAAGUCAUGUAUGACAAUGCUGGCAAUAAGGUCUCGGCUAUACCUCAAAAGUGGAUAUUGUUGAUACCCAAUUUUUACCCGUAUAUUUUUUAUGCAAAAUACUUUUAAAAUAGCAUAUGUAUGCAUAUAUAAGUGUGUCCCAACGUUUCAUUAUUUUUCCUAAUUUUUAAGAUUUGUAAAUAAAUUUAUUGCCCUAAUUUAGAAGUACAAAACAAAUAAUUAUCCCAGAAAUUAUCAUUUUGGUGAUUAAAUUAUUUUAUUGUUAUAUUUAUACCAAAAUAUAGCUAAGGCAAUUUUUACACAUUUAUUCAAAUUUAUUUAUUUCAUGACCCGAGUUCACCAACCAUGAACAUGUCAUGACAGCACCUAGUCCCUACGACAAGGUAAGCCUAAAUAGGUGGAAAAACAAAUUAAACAUGCAGAAAAUAAAUAAUUAAGUCUAAAAAACUUUAAGACAAACUGUACAUAAGUGUCGUUUGGCAUAUGCAACUCAACCAUCACAGAAAAAUCUAUAGCAACAUCCCAAAACCCGAAAACCCAUAGAAACACAGGCUAAUAGAAAUGCAAUACACUGCUCUAACUCCAGAAUGUCUAAACAACUAAAAGAAAGAAAAGCUAUCUACUAAGGCUGUAAUAAGAUAGAUACUCCUGGUCUGCGGAAGCGGCAAAAGUAUCUCGAAGUCUCUGCUAGAUCUCUCCGCCUAGAGGGUAUUACGCAUGGGUGGAGGUACCUGUAUUUGCACAUGAAAAGUUAUGCGCAGAAGGGGCAUGAGUACACCAUAGCGGUACUCAGUAAGUGCCAAGCCUAACCACGAUCGGGUAAUGACGAGGAAGGUUAGGGCUCUACAGAGAUAAAACAUAAUAAUGAUAAGAUAACGCAAGCAAUUUAAAUAAUGUCUACAGCGAGAAUCUAAAUAACAUAAAUAAGGAGAACAUUAAUGAAAACCAGAAAACAAGGAAAAUCAAGGUAAUACUGCCCAGAACAUGGAUAAUAACCGGAGAUCUCUUGGUAUACUCAAUAUAUAUAUAUAUAUAUAUAUAUAUAUAUACAUGUUCCAGGGAUCUCUUGGUAUCCCGCACCCUGAAUCCAGAACAUAUCACGCACAGGGGAUCUCCCAGGAUGCUGUCCCGUAGUCCCAAAUUUAAAACACACAUAACAACUCAAAACAUCAGGAUAAGUACUAAACACAUAACAAAUAAUAGUAAAUUCUUUCCUAACAUGCUUCACAGAGUACGAACAAGACAGUUUAAGAAAACAGGCAUGUAAGUUAAGUAAACAUGCUUCUCUAAAAUAACAUAUGUUAAGUUUGCAAUUAGAGUAAAAUAGGUAAGCAAGAAAACUCAAUUUAAUUACUUCAAGUAAGAAUGGAUUUUUAAGAAAUAGCUCAAGUACACGCUCGUCACCUUACAUACAAGAAAUUCAAUUACCAAAUAUCAUAUCCCAAGGGGAAAGGUCCCCCGCACAAAGUUAGACAAGCCACUUACUUCGAACCGGCUUAAAAAUUAACUAGAAAUCACGCCUUUGCCACGAGUGUCUGACUACAAAUUGUCCAAAUCUAUUCAAUUCAAUUACAUAUCAUAAAUAGCAGGGGGGAUCUCUCGGGAUGACGUCCCGUAGUCCAAAAUUUAAAACACACAACAACAGCUCAAAUACCAAGAUAAAUGCUAAACUCAAAACAAGUAAAAGUAAAUUCUAGCCAAAGAUGCUUCACGCAAUACAAACAAGACGCAAUUAGGCAAGUAAAUCAGCUAAACAUGCUUCUCUAAACUAACAUAGGUUAAACUUGCAAUUAAAAUUAACUGAUAAGCAAGAAAACUCAAUUUAGGUACUUCAAGUAAAAAUGGAUUUUCAACAACUAGCUCAAGUACACACUCGACACCAUACGUACGAGGCAUUCAAAUAUCACAUAUCAUGUCCUAAGGCGAAAGGUCCCCCACAGAGGGUUAGGUACCUCAAACCACGCACAAAAUCAACUACAAAGCAUGCUUUUGCCACGAGUAUCCGAAUCCAAAUGGCCCAAAUCUAUUCAAUUCAAUUACACAUCGUAUAAUAGAUUCUACUAUUUAAUUAAAAAUCAAAGCCUGAAAUUAAGUGAAAUAACGAAAAUGAUCCUGAGGAAACAUCUCGUAAUCGGAUAACUUUUACAUUUUUAGAACCCUCGUACUCUCACGAGUCUAACCACAUAAAAAUCUCCGAAAUCGGAGGUCAAACACCCACCCAAAACUCAAUAGUUUGGUCUAUGAAGUUUCUUCAAUUAUUUUCCAACUUUUAAUACCCAAUUCGAACUAUAUGAAAACGUUAACUAUAGAUUGAAGAAAUAUGACUAUUAAGGAUUAAAGAAACGUCAACGAAUGAUCUCCUAUUCAAAAUCGCCCUCUCCCAAGCUACAAUUUAAUUUUUCUAACUUUUGAAAUCAAACCCUUGAAUUUCAUAUUUCAGUCCUGUGGUUUCCAUUUCUGUGGUCAACAGACUGCACCUCCAGACCCCUUUCUACGGAAUUUAAGCCGCUUCUGCAGUUUUCAUUAGUUAGCCUAGGGCAACAUCUGCGAUAACAAACUCGCAAGUGCGAAACCACAUAUGCGGUAAAUUUUCUGCACCUAUGGAAAAGCUGCAAUAGCAUGGCCGAUUCAGCAGCUUCGCACCUGCAGAACCCAAAUCGCAGGUGCGGUUAUGACAGGGACUACCAACCUUCAACAACUCUUCAACACCAAAAACCUUCCGUCAACCAUCUGAAUUCACACCGAGGCCCCCGUGACCUCAACAAAAAGCACCAACAUCACCUAAUACCCUAUACAAAUUUGUACCAAUCCUUAAAACACCAUAAAUAACAUCAGAAACCUUAAUUAAUCUAAGAGUUAAGUCUAAGAACUUUAAAUUUCAUAAAACACGCUUUCGAUCGAAAACAUAACCAAAACACGUCCGAAUAACCUGAAAUUUUCCACAUACAUUCCAAAUGACAUGACGAAGUAAUUGCAUAUUUCAAAAUUCCAUUCCGACCCUCAGAUAGAAAACACACUAUCGGAUCGGAAAUAUAAAAAUUCAAGCUUUGGCAUUUUAAGCCUAAAUUAGCUCUGGACAUCCAAGAUGCAUUAUGAACACUCUCCCAACCCCGAAAUCGCCUAACAGAGAUAACAGAACCAACAAAUUUCCAUUCUGGGUCUGUUUUUUAUGUGGGGUGAUUUUACCGCACAUUUUAGCCUUUUUACCUUAGCUUUUAUGUCGUAUUAAGUAUGAAAUAAGGAUAUUAAUAGUGGUUAUUGUAAGCUUUUCAGGUACAUGAUGCUAUGAAGUGGUUUGCAUUGAAGUGAAAUUGAAUUGAGCAAAAAAGAGUUGAAACCAUGCAAAAAUCCCCAGUAAUUUCCGCUUAUGCGGAUCCUUGGUCGUAGGAGCGACCUCCGCCUAUGCGGAUAAUUAAUCGCUUAUGCGGAACGGGAGGAUCAGGAAUAAAUUGCUUCUGCGGUUGAAAACUCGCUGCUGCGAGACCGCAAAAAUUGUCAAAUAUCCGCUUUCGCGACAACGGCUGAACAGGAAACAUUCUGCUUUUGCAAUUGAUUUUCCGCUUCUGCGGAACCGCAUCAACGGUCACUUUUCCGCAGAAGCGGAAGUCGAGCACAUGGCCUGGGGAAGAUUUGGGAUUUCACAUAUUCUCACCCAAAAUGAUCUAUAUGCUCGUCCAAGAAAACAUUUAGAGGAUCUUCUGGCUUAUUUUCAGUCUCUUAGAAUAGAAAGAACAAGUUAGAGGCAAGGGUUUUGCAGAAACACACUUGGGUUGUGAAGAUUAAAGAUUGUGGUUAAGGUUUUCUUACCCAUUUAUGUUUGUUUCUUCAUUUCCUUGCUUUUUAUUGAAUAGUUAAGUGUGUAGUAUUUUAUCCAAAACUUGAAUCUUGUUUAUGGGAAGUGUGGAUUUUAUUCCUUGUUGUGCUUAUGUAUUGAACGAUUUUUCUAUAUUUAUGAAGUGAGUUGUAGUUUCUUUAAUUAUUCUUGUUCUUUAAUUUUUCCAAAGGGAUUAGCUAGCAGUAGGACUCGCCCAUUAACUUCGAAUCUAUUUUGGGAAAAAUAGUUUGGGGUUGGGAAAGAUUAAUUAACAAGAACUUGAGGCGCUAACCCNNNNNNNNNNNNNNNNNNNNNNNNNNNNNNNNNNNNNNNNNNNNNNNNNNNNNNNNNNNNNNNNNNNNNNNNNNNNNNNNAAUAGAUUCUACCUAGGGAUAGGAUUGAACUACUUGUAGCCUUUCGAGUGUGCUUAAUCUUCUAAUUGUGAUUAGGGAUAAUUCAAUUAGAAAGUCUUUUUAGUCUUCGGAAGAAUCUAAUUAAGAAUUAUUAUCCGUGGCUAAUUAACAUAAAUUCGCUCAUAUAUGUAAAAUCAUUAGAUACAUUGGAUCGUUACUUGAGUGUAAUUCCCGAUGCUUUCACACUUGUAGCCAUUGAUCAUUUUACUUGCUUUCUAGGUUAGUUUACAUUUCCGCAUUUUAGAUAUAAAAACAAUUUUCAACCAAAAUAUGUAAAAUCAUUAGAUACAUUGGAUCGUUACUUGAGUGUAAUUCCCGAUGCUUUCACACUUGUAGCCAUUGAUCAUUUUACUUUAUUUCUAGGUUAGUUUACAUUUCCGCAUCUUAGAUGUAAAAUCAAUUUUCAACCAAAAAUUCUUAUUGUUUGGCACUGCGCGACUAGCGGUAAUUCUCUUACAUUCCUUAUCGCCUAAAGAUUGUUCUCUGUGGGAUUCGACCCCGACUCAUAGUUGUUUAAUUAUAUUGCUGCGACCGUAUCUAUUUCUUUUUAGCGGUGGACUUGGAUGUCAUCAGUCUUCACAGUGUUCUGACUACGGAUUACAUUCCAACACUUAAGCUCUCAUUUAGGGACUAAGUGUCCCAAAACACUCCGAAACCUUACACCGAACUUCCCGACAAACCAAAAAAGCAGAAAUGAACUUAGGGGAAGCAGUUAAUUAGGGAUCGGGAAAUUAAUUCCUAAGACGACCAGCCUAGUCACCACAUCCUCCUACACUUAAACAUUCAUUCAUCUCGAACGAGCAUAUAGAACUUACUUGAAGUGGUGAAAAGAUGAGGAUAUCGGGUACGCAUAUCCCGCUUGGUCUCAUAAGUCGCCUCCUAAGCUGGCUGACCCCGCCACUGAACCUUUACUGAAGCAUUGUUCUUUGAUCUCAACUUUCAGACCUGCAUGUCCAAUAUAGCCACUUGCUCCUGAAAAUAGGAUAGAUCCUUGUCCAAGUUUACUGAACUGAAAUCCAACACGUACGACGGAUCACUGCAAUACCUCCGAAGCAUAGAAACAAGAAAUACUGGAUGAACCUUGGCCAAACUGGGAGUUAAGGAAAGCUCAAAAGAAACCUCCACAACUCACCUCAAAAUCUCAAAAGGGCCAAAAAAAUUGGAUUCAACUUCCCUUUCUUUCCAAACCUCAUGACGCCUUCCAUAGGAAAAACCCGAAGCAGAACCCCAUCUCCGACCAUAUAUGAAACAUCAUGAACCUUCUGGUACCCGUAACUCUUCUGUCUGGACUUGGCUAUAUGGAGUCUAUCCUGAAUAACAUUUACCUCCUCCAAUGGAUCUUGAACCAACUCCGUGCCAAUAGCCUGGCCUCACCCGGCUCAAAACCAACCCACCGGAGACCUGCAUCUCCUACCAUAUAAAGCCUCAUACGCCACCAUCGGAAUGCUAAACUAAUAACUAUUGUUGUAAGAAAACUCUGCUAAAGGCAAGACCUGAUCCCAAGACCCUCGAAACUCAAUCACACAUGCACUGAGAAUAUCCUGAAGAAUCUGAAUAGUACGUUCGGACUGUCCGUCCAUCUGGGGGUAAAAUGUUGUGCUCAACUCCACAAGAGUACCCAAAUCCUACUAAAUAGCUCCCUAAAACCGUGAUGUAAACUGGGUACCUCUGUCGAAAAUAAUAAAAAAUGGAAUACCAUGCGGACUAUCGAUCUCUCGGAUAUAAAUCUUUGCCAUUUGCUAUGAUGAAUAAUUAGUACUCACAGGGAUAAAAUGAGUUGACUUGGUCAGUCGAUUGACAAUCACCAAAAUGGCAUCGAACUUCUUCACAGUCCGAGGGAGAACAACUACAUAAUCCAUGGUGAUCCUCUCCCUUUCCACUCCGAAUCUCUAUCUGCUAAAGCAACCCACCUAGUAUCCGGUGCUCAUACUUCACCUGCUGACAGUUGAGGAAUCUAAUCCAAACUAUAUCUUUCUUCAUCUGCUUCUACCAAUACUGCUGCCUCAAAUCAUGAUACAUCUUCAGAGCACAUGGAUGCAUGGAAUACCACAAACUAUGGGCCUCUGCUAAAAUCAAAUCCCGAAGCGCAUCAAUAUUGGGCACACAAUCCAACCCUGCAUCCUCAAUACGCCAUCAUCUCCAAUGUCCACAUCUUUGCAUCGCCAUGCUGAACUGUAUCCCUGAGGACAAGCAAAUGGGGAUCAUCAUACUACCGUUCCUGAUGGGAUCGAAUAAGGAAGACCGAGAAACCAUACAAGCUAGGAUCCGACUAGCCUCCAAAAGAUCCAAUCUAACAAAAUGACUACUAAGGCCUGAACAUUCAUCGCCAUAGGCCUCACUGAAGCUGGUAAAUAUUCCAAACUCUCCGUUCGGCGACUCAAGGCAUCCGCCACCUCAUUGGCCUUGACCGGAUACAGAAAGUAAUAUCAUAAUCCUUCAGCAACUUUAACCACCUCCUCUGGCACAAAUUUAGAUCCUUUUGCUUAAACAAGUGCUGCAAAAUCCAGUGGUCAGUAUAAAUCUCACAGGGCACACCAUAUAAAUAAAGACGCGAGAUCUUUAAAGCAUGAACAAUAGCAGCUAGCUACAGGUUGUGGGCAGGGUAGUUCUUCUCAUGUAUCUUCAAUUGUCUGGACGCGUAGGUAAUCACCCUAUCGUCCUGCAUCAACACCGGUCAAAGGCCAACCCGUGAGGCAUCACGAUAUAUUGUAUAGGAAUCAAAACCAAUAGUCAGCAAAAAAAUAGGGGCUGAAAUCAAAGCUGUCUUGAGCUUCUGAAAGCUCAUUUUACACUAUUCUAUCCAAUAAAUUGGAGCACUCUUUUGGUCAAUCUAGUCAUAGAGGCCACAAUCGAUGAAAACCCCUCUACAAAAUGAUAGUAGUACCCCGCAAACCCAAGGAAACUGCGGAUCUCUUUAGAUGAGGAAGGCCUGGGCUAACUGUGCAUGGCCUCUACCUUCUCUGGAUCCACCCGUACGCCCUCACCCGAUACUACAUGGCCCAAUAAUGCCACAGAACUCAACCAAAACUCACAUUUUGAGAACAUUGCAUAUAACUUCUUCUAUCUCGGGGUCUGAAGCACGGUCCUUCGGUGUUGCUGAUUAUCUUCCAGACUAUGGGAGUAUACAAGAAUAUCAUUUAUGAAAAUGAUGAUGAAUGAGUCCAGAUAUGUCCUUAACAUACUAUGCAUCAAAUGCAUUAAAGUUGUUGGGCCAUUGGUGAGUCCAAAUGACAUAACAAGGAACUCAUAAUGACCAUACCGAGUUUUGAAGGCAAUCUUUAGGAUAUCCAGCUCCUGAGUCUUCAAUUGAUGGUACCCUGAGAGCAAAUCAAUCUUAGAAAACACAUGUGUGCCCUAAAUCUGGUCAAAUAUAUCAUCAAUACAAGGUAAAAGAUAAUGACUAUUCACUGUAACCUUAUUCAGUUAGCAAUAAUCGAUACACAUGCGCAUACAACCAUAUUUUUUCUUAACAAACAAGACAGGAGAACCCUAAGGUGAAACACUAGGUCGAAUAAAACCCUUAUCAAGCAAUUCAUGUAUUUGAUCCAUCAACUCUUUCAACUCAAUAGGAGAUAUAUAAUGCUAAGGAGUGGAAAUGGGCUGAGUGCCCAGCAACAAAUAAAUUCCGAAUUAAUAUCUCUAUUGGGCGGCAUGCCCAGAAGAUCUGCUGGAAACUCAUCGGGAUAAUAUCAUACCACUAUGACUGAAUCAAUCGAACGGGUAUCAACACUAACAUCUGUGACAUAAUCUAAAUACGUGGCAUACCCCUUCUAGACCAUACAAUGUGCUUUAAGGAAAGAGAUAACUCUACUGGGAGUGUGAUCUAAGGUACCAUUUCAUUCAACACGCAGAAUACCUAGCAUCGCCAGCGUCACGGUCUUGGCAUGUCAAUCAAGAAUAUAAUAAUGGGGCUACAACCAGUCCAUCCCUAAGAUAAUAUAAAAAUCCACAAUAUUGAGUAACAAAAAAUCUGCUUUGAACUCAAAACCACGAAUAGUAAACAGACAUGAAUGAUAAACAUUGUCCACAACAACAGAAUCUCCUACAGGAGUAGAAACGUAAAUAGGAGAGCUCAAGGAAUCUCCGGCUAGACCCAAAUACAGAGCAAAAUAAUAAGACGUAUAAGAAUAGGUGGGGCCAGGAUUGAAUCGAAUCGGUACAGCUUUGUGACAAACCAGUAUAAUGAUUGUACUGACAAGAGACGGAGGCAACAACCUAAGUAUGAGCGAGAAUGGAAUAAUAUCUUGCUUGGUCUCCCUUCUGAGGCCGCCUCUACCUCUCUAACCUCCGCCCAUGUUGGCUGAGCAGAUUGGGUAGCAGCUGGAGCUAUGAUCAUGACCUAUGAACUCUAUUGAGCACACUGUAGCUAAGAUUUCUGUCGAGGUGCACUCCUCCCAAGUCUAGGGCAACCCCUCACAACAUGGCAGGUAUCACCAUAAUCAAUAAUAGCGCUGGGAUGACAUGGUGGCUGUGACUGGCUAGGGCCAGGCCUACUAGACUGACCUUUGAAAUCACCCUGCGCAAGAGGCGCGCUAGAAACCAGAGGUGCAUAGUAAGGCUCCUAAGGCCUAGGAUGAGCUGGAGCGCUGCUGGCUGAUGGAAGAGCUGAAUGAACGGGGCAACCCAUAUAACCCCUACCAUGACGACCUACUACUGGGGUAUAGAAACUCGAGUAGUAGCCCGACUUUUGAGACCUCUUGGAUUAUCUCUCCUCUCGUUCCCUACCGAUCAUACCUUUGAUCCUUCUGGCAUUGCUCACUACCUACUGAUAAGAAAUGUACAUCUCCAACCCUCAAGCCAUGUUAGAUCUGAUGGGUGGAAUAAGACCCUCAAUGAACCGGCAAACUCUCUCACGGAUAGUAGCAACCAAGGAUGGUACAUACCUAGCCAAUCUGCUAUAACGGAUUGCAUACUUUGAAACACCCAUAGCACCAUUGUGCAAAUGCUCAAAAUAUGCAUGCAUGCGUCCGUGAGACUCUGAGGACAAACUCUCUCAUGAACAUAACCGAGAAUUGGGUCCAAGUUAGUGAAGCAGCCUCAACUAGGCUAUCCAUCUCAUAAGUAAACCACCAAUCAUACAUGGCUCCCCGAAUCUGAAAGGUAGUAAAGGAAACCCCUCUAGAUCCGGGAAUACCCGUUGUGCGAAGAAUACGAUGGCCCUCUUCUAGAAAUCUCAAGGCAUCAUUUGAUGCUGAUCCACUGAAAACUGGAGGAUCAUACUUGAUGAAUCUCUCAAGCCUCUGCUGCUCAUCCUUAGAAGCAGUUGCCCCAUCCUCUAGCUGAACUGGUACUGCAGGUUGUAUAGGAAUGAUCUCUGGGACCUACUCAACAUGUACUCACUGCUCCGAAGGGUAGGCAGCGGGAGUCUGUGGUCCUCCCUCGGCCUAGGAUGUGGCUGCAGCAAGGGGAAGCAAUCCUGCCUGAGCCAACGUGGUGUACAUGCUCGUAAACUAUGCUAAUGUCUAUUGAAGGGCAGGAGUAGUAGUGCCAGUAGGUGUGUCAGGUGCCUGAACUCCGGCUCGAUCUGCUGGCGGUACCUCAGCAAAGGCUCGCGUAGGUGCACUGGGUGCACCACGUGUGCGUCCACGGCCUCUUCCUAGGCCCCGGCCUCUGACGAAUGCAGUAAGGGGGCGCGGGUGCCUGAUCAUCCAAAGUAGCACGUGUCCUCACCAUUCGUGAGAGAAUAGAAGACAGAAUUUUAGAAUUGAUAUAAAAAAUAUCGCACGACAAGGAAAUCAAUGACGUGAAGAUUUUUCCUAAUUAGUUACGUAGCCUCUCGUAGAUAAGUACAGAGGCCUCCGUCCUGAUCAGCGAGACUCUAAUAAACUUUCAUGUGUUCCGUGACUCCUAUGAACCUAGAGCUCUAAUACCGACUUUUCACGACCCCAGUUCACCCACCAUGAACAUGUUGUGAUGGCACCUAGCCAACUGAAUAUGUAAGCCUAAAUAUGCAAAAAAAAACUAAUUAAACUUCCGAAAAAUAAAUAAUUUUAAGUGUAAACAACUGUAACAGAAACUGUAUAUAAGUGGCGCUCGGCAUUAAGGAAAAAUAUAUAACAAUAUCCCAAUACCCGGAAACUCACGGAAAACACAGCCUAAUAGAAAUGUAAUAAACUGCUCAAACUCCAGAAUGUCUAAACUACUAAAAUAAAGAAAAGAUGUCUACUAAGGCUAGAAUAAGAUAGGGACUCCUAGUUUGGGGACGCGGAAGAAGUACCUCGAAGUCUCAUCUAGAUCUCUUCGCUUCGAGGGUAGAAUGCCUGGGUGGAGGUACCUAGAUCUGCACAUGAAAAGACAUGCAUAAGGGCAUGAGUACACCAAACCAAUACUUAGUAAGUGCCAAGCCAAACCUCGGUUGGGUUGUGACGAGGAAGGUUAGGGCCCUACUGAGAUAAAACAUAAUAAAUAAUAAAUUAAUAAAAGCAGUUUAAAUGAACUCUACGGCGAGAAUAUAAACACGAUAACUAAGGAAAACAGUAAUAGAAAGUAGAAAACAAGGAAAAUCAAGUAAAUACUGCUUACAACAUGGAUAAUAACCAGGGAUCUCUUGGUAUCCAAGGAUCUCUUAGUAUCUUCAUCUUAUACAUGAGGGAUCUCUAAGUAUGCCGAGGAUCUCUUGGUAUCCCAAACAUCAGGAUAAUGCUAAACUCAGAAAAAAUAAUAGUAAAUUCUAGCAUAAGCUGCUUCACGGAAUACAAACAAGACAUUUUAACCAAUUAUGCAAGUAAAUCAACUACAAAUUUUUCUCUAAACUAACACAGGUUAAACUUGCAAUUUAAAUAAACUGAUAAGCAAGAAAACUCAAUUUAAGUACUUCAAGUAAAAAUUGAUUUUCAACAAAUAGCUCAAGUACGCGCACGUCACCAUACGUACGAGGCAUUCAAAUAUCACAUAUCAUGUUCUAUGGGGAAACGUCCCUCACAAAAGGACAGGCAAGCCACUUACCUCGAACCUGCACAAAAUCAACUAGAAACCACGCCUUUACCAUGAGUACCCGACUCCCUAUGGCCCAAAUCUAUUCAAUUCAAUUACAUAUCAUAAAUAAUAUCGCAAGCAAUUGAUUCUGCUAUUUAAUUCAAAACUAAAGCGUGAAAUUAGGUUAAAUGACCAAAUGUCUUCUAAGGACAAUGCCUCAAAAUCAGAUAAUUUUCACAUUUUUAGAAUCCUCGUACUCUCACGAGUCUAACCAUAUAUAAAAUCUCCCGAAUCGGAGGUCAAACACCCACUCAAAACUAAAUAGUUUGGUCUAUUAAGUUUCUUCCAUUUUUCCCCAAUUUUGAAUCCCCAAUUCGAAUUUAAAUGAUAACGUUAACUAUAGAUUGAUGGAAUAUGACUAACGUUAACGAUCUCCUCUUCAAAACCCUCUCAAAUCGCCCUCUCCCGAGCUCUAUUUUGAUUUUUCUAACUUUUGAAACAAAAGCCUUGAAUUUCAUAUUUUAGUCCAGUGGUUUCCACUUCUACAAUCAACGGACCACACUUGCGGUUCCGCUUCUGCUUAACUAAAGCCGCUUAUGCAGUUCUCAUUAGUCAGCCCAGGGCAGCAUCUGCGAUAACAAACUUGCAGGUGCGAAACCACAUCUGCGGUAAAUCUUCAACAUCUGUAGAAAAACUGAGGGAGCCCCAAUCUACAUCUACGAUGGCACGACCACUUCUAUUGCUCCGCACUUGCGGAACCCAAACUGUAGGUGCGGUUAUGAAAACCAUCAAACCCAAAACUCCACCUCUCUCUAAAUUCUCUACCUUCUCUCUAUGAAGAAGGGUGUAUGGUGAUCUUGUCACUAUUCAUCGGGCAUAUCAUUGGAAUCCGGCAAGGUAAGGUCACAAAUUAUAUACAAAAAGAACACCUUACGGAUUGUGAAAAACCCAAAAUUGAUUUCUUCCUAAACUCUUUACCCAACCGCAUCAGAUCUUUGAUUUUGUCAUUCGAGUUACUGUAGCAUUGCGUGCUUCAAACUUUCAAGUAUCUUUAUGUGAAUGGAGUGUUGAAGAAGAUCUUGGAUGCUUUGUUUUAAUCGUGAUUCUCCGGUUUGAAGUCAAAAUUAACAACAGAUCUUAAAUUUGGUGCGUCAGUUACUGUAGCAAAACAGAAACUGGACAGAGUUCAUUGAUGUUCUAUUUUUCAUUCUAUUUUUUUUUUUAUCUUGAUGGAGUAUUGAAGAACCAUGGAUGCAUCGUCCUCUCCCCAGCCUUUUGCUAUGGGAGAGAUGAAUUCGAAUAACAACCCAACACAAUUGUAUGCUGCUCAAGUGUCCCAAAAAAAGGCAGCUUCUACUUUAAAUCAAAAGUUACUGAAACCUUUUGAAGUUAUUCAUGGAGUUUCAACACUCAAGUUUUCAAUGGAGGAACGGAUGGAAUAUGCAAAAGAGGAAGGUUUACGUCAAGCUAUUGUAGUGAAGAUCUCUUUAAAUGCACCUGAUGUAAUAUGCUUCAGAAAUGUACUGCCGAAAUUUUUCGGCAUCAAAGGACCAUCUCUUAUCGGUCAUUUAGCACCUCGACAAUUGCUUAUCAGGGUGGAUCAACAUGAAGAUUUUUUUAAUUCACUUGCGAGGUCAGUAAACUACUUCAAAUACAAUGGUAAGGAGCAUCAAAUCCGAAUAUUCCCAUGGUCCCUCUAUUUUAAGGUAAAUGAAGAAACCACGAAGGCAGUGGUCUAGAGUUCCUUACCAAAUCUGCCAACGGAGUUGUUUGCGAUGAAGGCUUUGUUGUCUAUAGCUUCAGCUGUUGGUAAGCGUAUAGCUAUUCAUAAAGCUACCCAGACUAAGUCAUAUCCCAGUACUGUAAGAGUCAAAGUGAUUCUUGAUUUAAUGGACAAAUUACAUGAGAAGGUGUGUUUGAAAUUUGUGGAUAAGCAGACGAGCCAGAUAGUUGAAUUCUUCCAAGGUUUUGUUUAUGAUAACUUACCUUUGUAUUGUCACUGUUGUAAAUAUCAAGGACAUGAUGAAACAUUAUGUCGCAGAUUAAACAAAAAUGCAACAAGGAAUCUGCAAGGUACUGAAGAAGCUGUUGAUAAUGAUCGUCUACUGCCUGCUAAAGUUUUGGUUUUGGCUGAAGAGAUGAGAAAGGUGGAAAAAUUGCAAGGGGAUGCUAGGCAACUCCUCAAUGCUAAGUGGGCUGCACAGAAUUUGGCAGAUCCUUCAGUGCAAGAUCAAAGUAAUGAGCAGCAUAAUUUUGUACAGAAUGCUGAAAAUCAAAAAAUUGAAAGAGUACCUGCAGCUGUACCUAAUUUAGAUAAGGAGUUGGUUUGAAAUUUGGAGGGUACUGUGGUUAAGGAUAUUGAUCAAACCAACUAAUGUUCAACUUCCAGAUGAUAUCCCAGCUACAAUAGCUUUGGCAACGAUGUACAAGGAAGUUAGUAAGACAACUGGAGCUGCACUAACUGGACAUGAUCGUGAAACUACUGAAUGUUCGUAUGUGGAGACUACUCUUGCAUUGAAGGGAACUGGGGAUCGAGAAACUUCUGGGAUUGCUGAUCCUACUGCUAAUCGACCAGCCAAUGCCAUGAAUCAUGCAAUAAAUAUAGUGGUAGAACAGGAGAAAUAUUUGGGUGCAACUAUUGUUAGAUGUGCUAGUACCAGGAUUGUGCAACCUACUGCUGCACAAACUAGAGUCGAGCAAAAUGUUAAUGGGAAUCUCAAAUUGGCAUGAGAAAAUAGUGUUCCACUAUAGAUUUUUGUAAAUCUGGACACUAGCAACUCGCGACCUGCUUCUAAAUGUACCAAUACAACUGAACAAGCAAUAAACAAAUAACUGUAUGGAACACUGAGUUAUUUGAUACAGCAGAAGAUACUCCAAAUGCUACAGCUGUAACACAGGUCUGUGUGCAGCAGAAAGGGCAAGCUGGUGUACAUGCGAUGCUGGAUAAAUUAGUGGAAAACAACUAUGGAGUGGAAAAUUAAAAUGGGGAGUUAAUACUAGAUGAUCAGGAAACUUAUAGGAAUAACAACCAAGAAGAAUGGAACCAGGUAACAAGUAGGAAAUCGCCCAAAAUGAAGCAGAUUACUCCAAAAUUGCAGAACAGCAGUGUUCAACGAAUUGACUGCACUGUUGUGUUCAGACAAAGUUUUUUCAAAGUUCUUGCAACUGAUGGGGAUCCUGAAGUCGAGCCAACAAGUUUGCAGGAUAGUGGGACAUCCAAACAAUUAGUUUUAAGAUCCAAUGAUGAACACGGAUGGCAAGGCAAUGGUGAAUAGGAUAAAAAUUUGGGCGUUCGACGAUUUGAUGCAAAGAGCAAUUUUGGAGCUGAUUUAAUUAGUAAACAAUCUCAUUGCUCUAAUGCACCUAUGUUGCACUUUUCUAAUCCUCGGGUGGAACAAAUCAUGAAGGAUGCACAACUAGAGAUGAUGAUAAAGGCGUCUAUGGUUAAACAACCUAUGGUCACAUUAAAUACAUCCGCAUAUGAUAUCCUCUCUCAAUCAAUAGAGUCUUUUGGCGAGUUUGAAGGGGAAUGUGUACAGUUUCAUGAUUUCAACUGGAAAUAACAACGAAGUUAUACGAACAAACAUGAGGGACAUAGUUACUAAAUCAAAACUGUGGAAAGAACAAUGGGAGGAGGAUGACGACGAUGACUGGAGAGUCGUUGGGCGAUGAAUUUGCUGGUUACUCUUCUGAAGAACGUGAUCAGGAGGUUGAUCAGGAUUGUGCAGGGGAGGACUUGGAUGUCGUCAAGCCAAAGCCUCAAGGGACAACACCAAAGAGAAAAUUAAAUUGUCAUGCUCCUGCAUUCAUAACAAGAUCUUCACCUACUAUUGGAACUACAAAUGCAGGAUACGGAAGGGCAAUACAUGCUGCAGAAACAUCUCUCAAGCAGUAAACUAAAGAUGCUACUACAAGUCAAAUCAAAAUGGUGACAAACACUCCAUCUUCUGCCAUUACAAAUGCAGUCGCAUAUAUACAAAGGGAGCAGCAACAACAGCAAAAUGCAAGGAUUUCAGGACAUGUUGUGACUUCUUCAACAGUUGGACAACGACAAUUAUUCAAAUUGGAUAAAACAAGCAUGCAUCAACAGGAUAGUCCAGUUAAUUUGAUUACAAGUUCUGAUGAUCCAAAGGCUUUAGAAACUUUCGAAAUUGGGCAGCAUAUAACUUUGGAAGAAAGAAUGCUACUGGAUGCAUUGGUAAGUCCGAAACCUUCACAGAAUUUAAUUCACAAAUCAAGCACUGUAAACAAGAAAAAAAAUUUAAGCUGCACACAAAUGGUUGAAAUAAAUAAGGAAAAGACACUAUUGACAAAAUCACAAGAUGCAAAUAUUGUAAUGGAACAAGACACAAUCAAAAAUUUGCCAAAUCCAGUAAAUGUGGCAAGGGACAAUUAUGAAGAAGGAGAGGAGGAUACAAUUUUGCAAGAAUGCCGCGCUCAUGCAGCAAAAAAAGGUGAUUUAUCACCCCAUGCACAGUGGACGUAACAAGAACAAUCAUACAAGAAAGAAUAGUUGGGACGGCAAGGUGAGUGACGAAGAAAUUGGUAGGCGACUUCCAAUGAGAGCUUCCAAACAAAAGCAAGCUACACCAACUACAUCCACAAACCGAUCAAAAAAGAAUUCAUGAAUUUUGAAUUUUCUUUGAAGAAUUGUGAUAGUGAUGACAAAAAGUCACAAAUUGAAAAAUUCACAAGUUUGGACAAGAAGGGACAACAAUUUAAUUCUGUCUUCAUCUUAGUCUACCAUUUUUUAAGUAUUAUCAUAUGUAAUAUCAUCACAUAAUACGUUAUAAAUUUUGUGAUGAUCAUACAAUAUUUUUUCCGUUCAAGUUCUUAUUUUUUACAUGCUUGCUAGUAGAUGAGGCUAUCAUUUGGCCUCAAUAGGAUUAGUCAGGUAAGGUUUAGCGCGGUUUUGUUAUAUGGGUAACAACACCGGGGCUAUUGUCCCCCUUAUUUUUUACUUUUCCUAAUUGUUGUAUUUUAUUUUCUUUUAUAAAUGUAAAACUAGCCUUAGGCAUUUGUCUACCGGAUCGCCAAAAAAAAACAAAGGUACGGUUAUGACAGGUACCAACAACCUUCAGCAACUCUUUAACUUCAAAAACCUUCCGUUAAACAUCCGAAUUCACCCCGAGGGCCCUGGGACCUCAAGAAAAAGCACCAACAUCACCUAAUACCCUAUUAAAACUUGUACAGAUCCUUAAAACACCAUAAACAGUACAAGAAAACCGAAUUAGUCAGAGAUUUUAGUCAAAGAACAUCAAAUUUCAUCAAGACACGUUGUCCAUCAAAAACCUAACAAAAAUACGUCCCAAUGACCUGAAACUUUCCACAAACAUCCCAAAUGACGUGAAUAAGCAAAUGCAACUUCCGGAGUUCCAUUCCGACCAUCGGAUCAAAAACUCACUAUCAUACCGGAAACUUCAAAAGUUCAAAAACUUUGGCAUUUCAAACCUAUAUCAGCUAUGGACUUCCAAAAAGCAUUUCGAACACCCUCCUAACCCUGAAAUAACCUAAAAGAGCUAAUAAAACCAUCGGAUUUCCAUUCUGAGGUUGUCUUCACAUUGUUCCGACUACGGACCACAUUCCAACACUUAAUCUCUCAUUUAUUGACUAAGUGUCCCAAAACACUUGAAACCUAACACUGAGUAUCCCGGAAAACCAAAAUAGUAGAAAUUAAAUAAGAGGAAGUAGUUAAUGGAGGAUCAGAGUGUUAAUUCCUAAGACGACCGGUCGGGUCAUCACAAUUUCGUAUUUUUUAAAGCUAAAUUGCAUAUAAUUGCAACUUUAGCCUAUUUUAAUAUUUAAUUACGUUUAUAAUUACGAAAUUAAUUCCAGUAUUUUCAGUUUUAUUUUUAUACUUUAUUAAUUAAUUUACUUCCUUUAAUUAAUUUUUAAAAAUAAUUUUACUAUUUUUAUAAAAUAAAAUAGGAAAAUGGCUAUUUUAAUGUAAGCCCUAAUUAUUUCAAUAUUAGCCCAAAUUAGCCCCCCCCCCCCCCCCCCCNNNNNNNNNNNNNNNNNNNNNNNNNNNNNNNNNNNNNNNNNNNNNNNNNNNNNNNNNNNNNNNNNNNNNNNNNNNNNNNNNNNNNNNNNNNNNNNNNNNNNNNNNNNNNNNNNNNNNNNNNNNNNNNNNNNNNNNNNNNNNNNNNNNNNNNNNNNNNNNNNNNNNNNNNNNNNNNNNNNNNNNNNNNNNNNNNNNNNNNNNNNNNNNNNNNNNNNNNNNNNNNNNNNNNNNNNNNNNNNNNNNNNNNNNNNNNNNNNNNNNNNNNNNNNNNNNNNNNNNNNNNNNNNNNNNNNNNNNNNNNNNNNNNNNNNNNNNNNNNNNNNNNNNNNNNNNNNNNNNNNNNNNNNNNNNNNNNNNNNNNNNNCCCCGCAGAUUAAACCCAAUUUCAACCCAACUAAACCCCAGUCCAAUUCCUAAAUUAUCCGCCCCUGACCCAAUCUAAUCCAACACGCCUGGCUCCCCAAUAAAUCCAGGCCAUAGAUUAAAAUGAUCAACGGCCACAAACUUUCCUUUCCAUUUUUAAUUAACCAACACCCCUUAACCGUAAAUUAUUUAACCUACCCAGCAACCUCUGAAACCCCCCCCCAACUCUCUCAAAUACUCUCGAACCUUCUCUAACUCUAGCCACCCCUCACCAUCUCCGCCUUAAAACCCACCGGAAUCCAUGGCUUCCCAGGCUGUGAUUGUCUUAUACCCACCUCCUUUUGCCCUUACAUGCCUGAUCUCUGAAGAUUCGAGGCCUGACCUCGAAGGUUUUCACCCAGAACUCUACCGAUUCAAGGUUCCACGGCCAUCUUCGGCCCUGCUCUGGCGUACCAUGGUCGUCUGAGCCUUAUUCUGACCUCUUCGAAUCAGAUCGGUGACCUUUCAAAGACUUUUUCAUUCCUAGGAUUCUUCUGAAAUCCUAACCCUUCGAGGUUUUCUCCGAGUUCUUUAGAACCGUUCUUCAUCUGUGUUUUCCUUGAGUUUUCAAACGAUUUCCCUAAAUUUUCUUUCAAAAAAUCACUUUUAAAACCUUCCUUUUCUAUCUGGGGUUGUUGAAAAAGUUUAAGUGUUUUUUGAACUUUUUUUCCUUUAUGUGUAUUUGCUUCUUCUAUAUUCUUGUAUUUUUAUUUUACCAUGUUCUUGUAUGUUUAUUUUCUGUGUUUUCCUAUAUGCUUUUCUGCUGUACUUUUCUAGUGUUCUUGUGUUCUUCUAUUGUAUUUUCCUACUAAGUUCUUAAGUUUAUUUAUUUUCCUUCUAAAGGGCCCUGCUUAUGUUUUUUCUAGAAAACAUGUUAAGCAUGCUUCUUCUACUGUUCUUAUCAGUAUUUGCCAUUAUGUUCUUUGAAUCCUUCUACUAUGAUUGCAUGUUACUUUGCUAUCAUGUUUUCUUAUGAGUUAUGUUGUGAAGAAGCACGUUCUUUUCUGAAACAUAUAAGCAUGAUUUCGAUUCAAUUGCCUUCCCUCUCAUCUUAGCUUUAUGGUUUACUUGAACUAGGUUUUAUUUCAAAACCCCUAAUUCUUUCAGAUUGACAUUGAGUCUCUAAACUGAGUUUGGACUUCCUUGUUUUCAUAUGAUUCUAAACUUUUGCUAAAACUCUCCUACACUAGAGUUUCUACUAAUUUUACAAUGGCAUGACAAGUUUCUUUCAUGCUUAACAUGUAUGUAUGAUCUUUAUAUGUGAUGAAUCUUUAUUUAAAAAAGGCAAUCAACUUGUGAUUAAUUCAAAAUCCCAUCUAAAUAGGUCUGGUUGAUUAUCCUUCCAUUGUCUGUCGAUUUCCUUUAACUUAAAAACCUUUUCCAUCUUUCUGACACAAUUAACUAUACAAAAUCUCAGACCCAUUGAUUUACUAGUUGUUAAUUGAUCUUCUUACCUUAUUUGCACAAAUCGUGUUUGUCAAAACACUGUCCUUAAAUUACUUUUAUGUAUUCACCCCUAGUUGCCUACUUUGCACAAAGUGUUUGAUUACUUUCUUUCCUUAGUUGGUUUACCCGUUUGAAUCUGAAUCUCUUAAUUAAGGGUAGCCUUGUGUAAUUGAUUGACAAUCAGCCCUUUAACUAUUUUCUUAUCUUAUUUCUGCAUGAUUUCUACACUAUAAAAGGCACGACCCUUUUGAACCUUCCAUACACUACAUACUUUGCAAUUCAGAACCUCUUCUGAACUCAUACUUACAUAUAAUAGUAUUCAUGCUUCUUCUCUACACCGCGCCUUUUACAAGACUAUUGCUUUCUUUUUAUUUGUUUCUUUGAAACUUGGUAUGUCCUAAUUUAAGCUUCAGCAACACCAUAAUGUGUUUACUUACUAUUUUUAGUAUCCAUGUCUACUUUACUACUUCUGCACAGUUAAGUAUUUAAGUUAUUACGUUAACUUCUUUCUAUUUGUUUCUGCUAUGAAUCCAUGCUCCCUAUUUCCCUUUAUAUGCUUUGAGGUAUAGUUUAAAACAUGGCAAUAUGUAAUUUAUUGUAUAUGGGUUGAACUUGUUCCCUUACAACAACAACAACUACCCAGUAUAGUCCCACAAAGUGGGUCUGGGGAGGGUAAUAUGUAGANNNNNNNNNNNNNNNNNNNNNNNNNNNNNNNNNNNNNNNNNNNNNGGUCUGGGGAGGGUAAUAUGUAGACGAGCCUUACCCCUACCCGAAAAGGUAGAGAGGCUGUUUCCAAUCGACCCUCGGCUCAGUGAAGAAAAGAAAAACAAAAACAAAAACAAAAACAAAAGAGCUUUAGUAACUCCAGCAUAAAUAGCGUAAAUAUUUAUCUAAACGUAAGAAACAUAAAUAAAAUAGCAUGCAAUAAUAUCAUACAGUAACUACCAUAAUUAACUACCAUAAGGGAGACACAAGCCAAAACACAAAUCAUCUAUGGAUACCCCUGCCAAGCCUCACCCAACCCCGUGUGAGGAGUACGAAAACUCUAGCAGCCCAUAUCCUACAACCCUGAUACUAGACCUCCAGGCUUUCCAAUCAAGGGUCAUGUCCUCGGAAACCCGCAUUCUAGCCAUGUCAUACCUAAUCACCUCUCCCCAAUACUUCUUAGGCCUCCAUCUGCCUUGCCGAAUGCCAACAAUUGCUAGCCGCUCACAAUUCCUCACCGGGGCAUCAAGACUUCUCCUCCGCACAUGCCCCAACAACCUCAGCCUGCUUCUCGCAUCUUCUCAUCCACCGGGGCCACCCCCACCUUCUCUCGAAUAACUUCAUUCNNNNNNNNNNNNNNNNNNNNNNNNNNNNNNNNNNNNNNNNNNNNNNNNNNNNNNNNNNNNNNNNNNNNNNNNNNNNNNNNNNNNNNNNNNNNNNNNNNNNNNNNNNCGCACAUCCACCUGAGCAUCCUCAUCUCCGCAACCUUCAUUCUCUGAACAUGAGAGUUCUUCACGGGCCAGCACUCCGCCCCAUACAACAUCAGAGGUCUAACCACAGCUUUAUAAAAUUUCCCCUUGAGUAUAUGUGGAUUUUAUUGUCACACAGGACUCCUGAUGCAAGCCUCUACUUUGAACACCCCACUCCUAUGCGAUGAGUGACGUCCCCGUCAAUCUCUCCGUCCCCCUGAAUCACCGACCCAAGAUNNNNNNNNNNNNNNNNNNNNNNNNNNNNNNNNNNNNNNNNNNNNNNNNNNNNNNNNNNNNNNNNNNNNNNNNNNNNNNNNNNNNNNNNNNNNNNNNNNNNNNNNNNNNNNNNNNNNNNNNNNNNNNNNNNNNNNNNNNNNNNNNNNNNNNNNNNNNNNNNNNNNNNNNNNNNNAAUCACCGACCCAAGAUAUCUGACACUGUCCCUCUUGGUAAUGACCUGAGAUCCAAUCAUCACGUCCCUACCUACUUCGCUCGGCUCGGCGCUAAACUUUCACUCCGGGUAUUCUGUCUUAGAUCUGCCUAUUUUGAAACCUUUAGACCCGAGAGUCUGUCUCCAUACCUCUAACCUCUCAAUAACACUGACCCUCGUCUCAUCUAUAAAGACUAUAUCAUCAGCAAAUAGCAUACACCAAGGCACAUCCCCUUGAAUAUGUCGGGUUUGAGCAUCCAUCACCAAGGAAAACAAGAGAGGGCUCAGCGCCGAUCCUCGCCACCUUGUAGAUCACCCUGUUCGCUCUCCGUUCUUCCUCGCUUGUGCUCCCUGCCAACUUAGCAAACACCACCUUCUUCACCACCACUUUUCCUUCAACUACAUCGUUCCACCACCAGUCACCCUAAUGUCUGCCUGAAAAGCCCUUGGCUACCCCGAGCACGUCCCGUGCUACCUCCCUAACCAAGUUUGCCAUCUCUGACCACAUAGCGUCCGCAUCCCCAGAACUUCUCCAAGCUCCGCCCUCAACUAUCCUCCUUUCCAACUCAUGUGCUUUCUCCUUAGUCAAAACACCCAAUCUAAUCCACGGUUGUCCUCGAGCGCCCCUCCUCUUCCUCUUCACCCAGAGACCGACAUCCAUCACUAGGAGUAAACACCACCUUCUUCACCACCACUUUUCCUUCAACUACAUCGUUCCACCACCAGUCACCCUAAUGUCUGCCUGAAAAGCCCUUGGCUACCCCGAGCACGUCCCGUGCUACCUCCCUAACCAAGUUUGCCAUCUCUGACCACAUAGCGUCCGUUUCCCCAGAACUUCUCCAAGCUCCGCUCUCAGCUAACCGCAUCUCCAACUCUUGUGCUUUCUCCUUAGUCAAAUCACCCCAUCUAAUCCGCGGUUGUCCCCGAGCAUCCCUCCUAUUCCUCUUCACCCAGAGACCGACAUCCAUCACUAGGAGUCUAUGAAGAGUCGAAAGGGACUCUCCCGGAAUAAUCUUGCAGUCCUUGCACAUGCCCCAAUGCUCCUCCCUUUUCUGAAAUGUCGAGUUCGCAAUCAGAAGUUCGGAAGCCCUGGCGAAAUCAAGCAGUGAGGUGCCUCCUCCGUUCCUAACCCCAAAGCUGAAGCCACCGUGCACCUCACCAUAACCAUCCAGCAUCGGCCCCAAUAUGACCAUUAAAGUCUCCUCCAUUAACUAACUUCUCAAAUUGGGAAUACUACUCACCAGAUCAUCCAAGUCCUCCCAAAAGCGCCUCUUAGCCUCCUCGUCUAAGCCCGCUUGCGUCGCGUAAGCGUUUAUGACGUUGAGGACGCAAACCCCAAUAACCAACUUAAUAGGCAUUAACCUAUCAUUCACUCGCCUAACCUCGACAACGGACUCCCUUAGGACCCUAUCUACCAAGAUGCUCACUCCAUUCUUACCUCUCACGACUCUAGAAUACCAUAGCUUAAACCCGUCUACAUUCCUCGCCUUCGACCCUUUCCACCUAGUCUCCUGCACACAAGCUAUGCUGACCCUUCUCUUCUGAAGAAUCUUCGCCAACUCAAUGAACUUACCUGUCAGGGUGCCUAUGUUUAUACAACGAAAAUAUAAACAUGAAAUGAAAGUUUAAAAAGGGAGGAGAAAACAUGAUUUGAGGGAACCAUAUCAAUCCUAACAAAAACUUAAUAAAGUAUGAAAUGACACUCGAUGUCUACAACAAUACAAUAACAAUAUUGUCCUGAACUUGUUCCCUUAGAGGAUCCUAAUUUCUAAACCAUGUGUUCCAGUAGGCUUGUGGUUGUGCCAGUUUCUCCCAUUGUUGGUUAUUCCCACUAACCUGCCUUUUGCCUCUUGCCAACUCCCCAUUCCUUAUAUCCCUAUGUAUAGUGUUUCCCUUCUCCUUUCCCCAUUUCAAAAUUCUUGACUUACACUCUCUACUAGUCUUUAAGUUCUUCCCCCUCCUGUGAGCCUUGACUUGGGACCUUGAAUUCCCUCUUAACUUGGACACUUGAGGGUUGGCCCUUCCACACUGCAUUAUGUCUUAAUCUUGUAACACAUUUGGGUGUGAGCACUGCUCGUGGUCUAUAUGAGGCUCUUAGGGAAAUCUGACACGUCCAAAGGGGAGAAAGGCUUUGGAUCAUGAACUCUUGGAGUUGGUUCAUCUCAUAUUUUAGACAUGGAGUCUAAAUUAGGCUCCCUUUUGUUGUACUUUUAUGUUCGGAUUUAUUUUUCCUUUCUUACAUUCAUGCUAGGCUGUAAUAACUUGUAGUUCACUAUUGGGGAUGCUAGUGGAAAAGGCUAUAACUUUAUGCAAAGGGUAGAUAUUCUGCCCAUAGGUCUACGGAUUUCUACAUUCAUAUAGAUAUCUUGCCUAUAGUUUUGUUUUUUAAAUUUUUCCAUUCAUAUAGAUAUCCUACCUAUUGGUUUGUUUUCUGAAUUUCUGGAUUCAUAUAGAUAUCCUGCCUAUAGUAUAGGUUUUUGAAAUUCUGCAUUCAAAUAGAUAUCAUACCGAUAGUUCAUUUCAGAACUUCUGUAUUCAUAUAGAUAUCCUUCCAAAGGAAUUCUAAUUUCCUGCACGUCAUAUAGAUACUAUGCUCAUAGAAAUUCUGCGUUUUCUCAUAUAGAUGUCGUGUUUAUAAUUAAUUGGAAAUAUGAAUCCUGCAUAUGCAUCCUUUAUUAGGGAACAUUGUUUAUAGGGCUAAAAAAGAUAGUUAACUGCAUUUAAAUGUCAUUCCUAUAGGAUUUCUACAUCUCUAUUAUGUCUAUAGGUGUCUAAAAUCAACAAUGCAUAGAAAGCAUAACUAUAUGAAUUGAUAAUCAAGUCUGAAAUAUUUUGCUCUCUUAUAAGUCUAAAACCAGUAAUAACAGUGUCUAACGUCUGCAGAACUGGUAACUCUUGCAAAAACUCGCUUUUAUUUAACAAUAUUGCAACUUCUCUUAAAUCAGUAUAUAUUCAAUUUACUUCAUCUUUUCGUAAAUCAGUAGAUAUCAUGCCUAUAGGGGCCUUGUCCAACACUUAGGCAAGCCUUAUGGUAAUAGUUAUAAAUUGUACUAGUCUUUAUUAAUUACAACAAGCGGGCUGUCUAAUUCGUACUUUUUGUCUGAAAAUAUGUGAUAAAUAAGACUGCUUUAACUUUUAAGUUUAAUCAGACCCUAAACAAUACAUGCAAGUCAUGCUAUUAUGUGGAAUCUUUGAUUUAAAGGAGGUGUGUUUGAGCCUUAUUUGUUUAUGUAUUUUCCCCAAACUUGUUGUAUAUGUGUUAAUAUUUCCGCCUUAGAAUUUUGCCUUUUGAAACUAUAAAAGCCUCAUGCCCCUUCCCUUUUAGGAUCAGUUGUCCCGAAUGCCUCCAGGACUAGUAAAAUUAGUACGAGUAAUAGCAUGCAAUAAGUAAACGAGACCAUUUCACAUUUUAAAUACCUUAACGAGAUGGGAAAGGGUAGUUAUGGAUAUGAUCACCACAUGAUGACAUCUCGUAUAUUCCCUCAUUGAGGAGUGAUUACCUGAUAUUGUGUGGGGUAAUCCAUAUUAUUUAUAAACCUAGGACCCCCUUCCCUUUACUUGUAUAUUUCUUUGUCUACUUUCAAAUUUCAAAAAUAUUUUCUCACAAUUUAGCUUUUGUUUCAUUUUUUUAACUUUAUUUAUUUGCAACCAUUAUGUAAAAAUCCCAUCUUAUUUGAAAGUCUUGCUUGCCUAUAUGCUCCUUGUAUUUAGAGUCACAGUAGUAGUCUGACCGGGAACCACAGUAGUGGAUCUCGAGGGGUGCCUAACACCUUCCCAAUGGGAUAAUUUCAAGCCCUUACAAAAACUCUGGUUUCCUAAAUCAAACAUCUCUUAGUGUCCUAGUGCACUUAUAUCAUUAGGUGCGGACUCUUCAGUUCAAACCGAAUUCCCAAAAAGGAACGAGAUGUCUACCCAAGUGUCAUAAACCUGAUUCCGCGAGAAAAAAGGGGUGCGACAGAUAUCUAUAUCAAAAGAUGUACAACGUAACCCCUUGAAGGAGAAAGGGGAUCACCAAGACUUCGAGAGGAGGAUGCGCCUCUACGCAGGAUUGGCAUUAUCCACUAUUGAUGCACCUAUAUUUAUUUAAAAAUGUAGCAUCCCCGACAAAAGGGGUGUUAGUACCAUAGAAUAGUACUAUUUUGUAUAACUAAACACCAUCUAGUUAGAAAGAACAAUUAUUCAAGCGUAAAAGAAAUCUUAAGGGCAACGAAGCACCAAAAAAGCAUCACAUCAAUAAUAUAAAAGAUUUGCAGAGUUUUCACAUUAUUUCUAAAACUUUUAUUUGUGCAUUCCUUACUGUUUCAUCAUUAUCCACAUUACCACUGCUUCCUUGGGCAGAGUCCGAUCAAGGCCCGACCGUCAAAGCUGUCUUACCAAGAUGUUACAGUUAUUUCACUCUCACUUUUACGUUUCAAUUGUCAAUACAUUACGACCAUGUCUGUAUAACAUGGCAUCCGAUCACGGCCGGAUCGGCUUAGCUAUCUUGCCAAGACGUUACCCUUUUUCAUUAAUCAUUGUCUCACUUCAAUCUUUGAAUUCACGUGAAUUAGUUUCUCCGAACUUGGGGCCACAAUUACCACAUUCCAUAACUCACAUUUUACAUUAUUCUCAUUUUCAACAUUUACUUUGCCAUUUAGGAUCAUAGGCACAUAUAAAAGUAAUUUACGUUAUAAACAUAUAGAGGAAUUCAUCUAGUUCGGCAUAUUAAUCACAAUGUAACCUUGACUUGACAUUUAGGCAUUUAGCACAUAGCUCAUGUUUUUCCAUACAUACUCAAUUUACAAAUAAUAACACACUAAACACAUAGAGAAGUACCAUCCACAUACAUUUUCACAGCAUUAAUUUAUUUGACAUAACAAGUACCACAUCAAUCGAAUUCCAGUGCCUACAAGAUUUGCACGGGCACCAUGGAGUCUCAAGUUCUAAAGUUGGGUAUUUUGGCCAUACAAACCUUGUUUAUGCUUUCCUUACGUUACUACGACGUUCCGAAAAUGCAAACAACCCAAUCUACUUGAGAUAUAACAAAAUUGAACACAAAUUAGGAAGGUAUUCAUGGUUUCAGCUCAUAUGAGGAUUUUAUCAAAUACUAGCUAAGCAACUUGAUUUCAAAUAUCUUCUACAAUAUUUUCUUCAUUCCCCAACCCAAACUUUACUUAUUUAUACUCGAAAAUCUUCCCACAAACCCAAUUUAUAUAUGAAUUCAUACAUAAUACUAUUACACCAAAGAAUCAUACCUCAAUAACCCAUCUCACAAUCUCUACAAAACCAACACAAUCUAGGUUAGGCACCUAUGGCUUCCAAUCACAAUUCCAUGAGUUACAAUACUUAAUUCAUACUCAUAUUCCCAUAAUAUAUCCAUAUACGUAAGUCUAAGGGUGUAGGAUUUACCUUUUGGAAGAUAUAUUGCAAAACCCCCGUUUGAGUUAUUGAAGGAAUUUCUUGGAGAUCUAUGUAUUUUAUGAGUAGAUUUCAUAAAUACAAGUAUAGGAAUGAUGGAAUUUCACGCCAAGUUAAUGGAGGUUGCUUACCUUGAAGAUUGGAGGUGUUGGAGGUCGUGAGAGAGUGGAGGAAGACCCUAAAAGUUGUGCAAAAGAUAUGAGGAAAAUGAAUCCCGAAAUUACGUUUAUAAGCCUAAAUUUUGGAUGCUGCCUCGGAUGCUUCUCAUCCCCACUUCACUCCUCUCAGCAGCACGGAUGCUGACCCGGAUGCUAUGGCAGUAGUUCAUUGUCAGCUACUCCUUUUGGAUUCUACUUCGGAUGCUUUGCAUCCACGCAACCCUCUGCCAUUCUUUGGUAAUUUUGUCAUAACUUCUUGUAGGAAAGUCCAAAUGACAAACGUUUUGAAGCGGUACAGACUAAACUCAAAGAUCUUUAAUUUAAUAGUGGGGUAUCAUCUAAAACAUUAUAUAUCGGUAGAUAUAUGCUCAUCCAAAGUGAGGUCUUGUGCGUACUCUUUUAUAACAUUAGUCUAUUGUGAAGUUUUCCAACUUGGCUUAGACUUAGGCCUCUCCUUGGACCCCAAAUCACUAUAAUAUGGCUUAUACGCUUGUUAUUAUAUCAAAUUGACAUAGAUUAUAUCAUGAAUCCUAAUUUUCACACAAGAUAAAAUAAUUAGCUUACCAAAAAAUCUUAAAUUACUUAGCAAAAUUUUCUAGGACUUUGCAAUAUGGAUUUCGCUAGUACUACUAUUGUGAAGCCACUUCUUCAGAUGUUACACCACUGCAGGAUGCAACAGUUAGUAUAUAGUACCACCUCACUCCAUGGAAUGUAAUAGGAGUAAGGCACCACCCCGGGUAGUCUGGGAGGUGAGCAGUAGUGUAAAGUCCGAACACUCUCCUGACCAGUGGUGUAGAGUCCAAACAUUUUCCUGAAUCUGAAGAAAUUGGGCCCCCUACCUCAUUGUCUUGAGCCGAUGAAAACAUAAACAACAACAACAACAACAAGUUAGUGCAAUCUCGUGGGGGAAGGGAAAACCGUGGAAAAAGGCCAAGGCGAGAUUGAUGAGAAUGCCACCAUGUAACCUUAAGACUGCAAGCCCAAAACAUGGGAAGUAACAAUGGAUGAUGAUGAAGAAAACAAAGGGGUGAAAGGAUAUUGGGGAACAUUUGAAUGAAGGAAUGGUUAUAGGAGAAUCCCAUCUAUAGAAAGGGUGGAACUGUAACCGACGACCCCAUCAAUGUCUAUGAAAUAUGUAUCAACAGGCGCAAUUAAUGCAUCCUUGGGAGCUGAACCAGAGGCGACAUUAUUUUUUUGAAGAAUAAGAAACGGCAGUGCUUUGAAUGAUUCUGGAAAUAUGAACCGACAGGACACCUUGGUUGUCACAUAGGCUCACGUCAUAAGUAUCGCAUCAUCACGGGAAGUCUGAAGAGAUUAAUAUCAAAGUCAUUUCUUAUUAUUCUACUCUAAGAAAUGCGGGGACUAUCUAUAUACGGUGAAAUCGAAGGGUCCAAUUUUCCAUCAUUAUGAUGCCUCGCAAGCAUGUCUCGAGGGCUUGAGACCACGGUCUACUUUCAGCCCUCGAGGGGCAUCGUUGCCUUGAUCUUGGAGCAGUACAGAUCGAAAUUCACAGAAAGAAAGUGGGGAGUUCGCAAGGCGCAUAACAAGAGCUGACAAAGUCUAGUGAGCUAUGUUAAGACCCGAAUCAUGGUUUCAACUAGUUGUCAUGUCCCCAUAUCAUUGUAUUAAAUGCACUUGUACUAUGUUGCGAUUACCUAUCAUAUUAAAAGGGGAUCCUUGUCAUAUUUUAGACACAUGUUUCUCAAUACUGAAUAUUGAAGAACAUUCUCUCUGCUCUCUAGCACAUUCUUCCGACCUCUUUACUUCCAUUUAUUGUUCACAUUCAUUGUGUUCUAUUUAUUGUUAUUCUUUUAUUUCUUAUAACUGGCCAUAAAGAGCCGUCACUAAUUGAUUUAUGACUGUUAGUAUCCAUUGAGUAUCCUCAGCCGGGCAUUAGACUCGACCCUGAGGCCUCGAAUAAGCAAGAUCGGGGCCCCGAUCGAUAGCCAUUUGGUUUGGUUAACACCUUUUUUUAAGCUCAUAUUUUGAUUCCAAGUACCUCACUUAGUGUCUAUUGCCCUAACAACAAGCAUACAAAUAGAUAACGUAUUUUUAUAACAAAAAAAUAAUACUUAAUAUUUAUUACCACUUUCGAGGUAAACAACAACUUAUAUGCCCACCGCCUCAAUUCUCCAAGCAGGUGGGUAAGAUGGCUGCUUGGCAGCUUGAGCAGUGCCACUUUGGACACUUGUGUAUCUCUCUAUUUAAAUAUCAUAUUAAUAAUCUAUUUGUAUUUAUGGAAACUAGACACAUAGGUAAUUAGUUCUAUAAAAGAUCUCCAUGUAACUCUCAAUAUAUUGGGAGAAAACCGCAUCGUAACUUGGAUUAUAAACCUACCAGUUUCUCUAAAGUGCGGCAACGUAACUUGGUGACCCUUAAUUUAAAUAUCCAUAUUUCUUUACCCCGAUGUCAUAUGAAUAAAUAGUUUACACUGUUGGAAACUAGGUUCGAAGACUUUCAUUUUGCUAUUAUAUAUGUCCCAAAAUGAUAUGAUCAAGCAUACAAAUUUAAUUUCUCAAAACGGCUCGUUACAAGGCAAAUCUUAACACGGUUUUUCCGUAAGUCAAAUCCAAUUUUUCCAAAGCAUUAUAUUUUAUGUCCAAACAACAUAUAUAGUCAUAUUAUGACUUUACACUUAUUAAUCAUGAUCAACAAGUCUCGUAUUUAUAAUACGUCACUGUAGAACGCACAAAACUUGUCAACUUUUGACAAAACAUAUCUUCUUCAAUUCAUUUAGGUUCUAAGACUUCCAACCAUAUUAGUAAUUGUUAUUCAUGAUCAUCAAUAUUAUUAACUUCCACGGACAUGGUUAACUUAACUUACAAAUUUUCAAAGUUGAUUUCAUUUCUGAGCUCACAUCAAUUGACUUACGAUGUACUCUUAAGUACAAAAAUAUGGAGUGUAACAUCAUUCCCCGCUUUAGAGCAUUCGUCCUCAAAUGUUGGCUGAUGCUCCUAUCAGUCUCAUAACCCAUAGAUCUUACGAACAUUUAAAUAUUGUCCUUUCUAUAUAGCCACUUGCUUUGUGGACAAAUACAAAGGCUAGGGAAUUCCCUCGCCUUUAGGUCUCUUUCUGAAACAACAACUCGUAGUCGGAAACAGUCUCGUAACUGCUCCUACCUUCCAUCAUGCAGCAUGUACCACUUUUUCAUUGUAUCUCACCCUUUCAUGUCCUUACUCAUGUCUUCCUAAAACAUGUUUAUUCACCAUUCUUUAGCAUGCAACCUAUGCAUGUCUAUUAAUAGUACUCGCAGCCUUCCUCCAACUUUCUUGCACCAUUGAUUUCCUUGUGUUAUUCUGGAUUAUCAAGUGAAACAUCAGAUUGUCUCUAACUCUUCUUUACUCUCUUAGUCAGGCUUCGCGAUACCUAGAACACAUAGGCUGGAAGGCAUUUCACUGCUAUCUUUCCUGGAUACUGAAUCCCGACGCUUCUAGCCUACUAUCCGAAGUAAGGACUAUUCACAACCUUCUGUGCUUGAGUGUGUUGUAUGUUCUUCACCUUUACCUUACUUUCUUUAAAAUCUAACAUCAUGGCUUAUAUCUCUUUCAUAUCUUCCUUUUUACAUAGGUAUGAUUUACAUCCACGACUUGAAGCUCUAUUGUAAUACUAACACAUCAGGUGCAUAGCCAAUCUGGAGGGAGCUUCAUACUAACUUCUUAUGAGGUCAGUAUGCUUCUAACUGCUUUCUCAUAGAGCCGUUAUGUCAUAUUUUGUCAUACUAACUCUCUUGUAUCUUUGAUAUUCAGGGUGAUCCUAUAAUGUUCUCAAUCACAAUUCCAAUAAUUUUCUAGGUUCAAUAAUCAGACUAUUGAUUUACUUGGUUAAUGUAACUCUUUUGUUUCCUCUUCCUUUUGAUCAGCCUUUAUGUAGGCUUAAGCUAUCUUUUGAUCUGUAACUUAUGGCAUUUAGUUAUAGCUUUAUCACUUCAUGGACACUAUGGAAUAUCAAUGAUAGAAUCUUCUAACAAUUCAAUCCUUUGUCUAUGACCUAGACUCAAUAUUUUCUUUUAACUUAUACUGGAGUCUUCUACGGCGGUACGAUUAUCAACAUAUAUGCUGCAUGGAUAAUAAGCCCAACUCUUAAGUGCGUUCAUAACGUAACUAACUUUGAAUCAUUGUUCGAAUAAUUCCUUUCGUUUCAUCUCAUCUUUCUUCAAACUUAGGCUAAUACUUUUCCUAGUCUUUCUUCCCCUUGUAGCGUGCAUACUUAGCUUCUCUUAGUUCCCACACAUGAUGGAAUAUCCGUGCAACACAUGAUCUUGAAUCUUACAUUAUUAUAGAGUGCAUACAAUGUUGUAUUGAGAUUGUUGUUACAACGCCAUUUCCUCUUUAGGUUACGAUACUUAGGUUGAAGCGUUCUUCCUUAUUUGCUUAGCUAGUCUUUUAUGGUUGAACUUAGGAAGGACCCUCUAAUUUUUGAAAGGUUGUGAGCUUAUUACAUCAUUUACUGGGCAAAACAUUUGAUGUUCUUUCUUACUUGUACCAUGAUCUUUUGCUCAUUGGGUAGCUUCUAAGAUGAUAUUCUGAUUGUCUUCCUAGUGGUCCUUUUAUCUCCAUAGCACUUAUACGAUACCUUUAACUACCCCAUCUUUUAUCUUAAUAUUCUUAAUAUUACGAUCUCAUAUCUGCAAGACUAAAUUCCUCAUAUUGGGAUUUACUAUGUUUAUCUUGCACAAUCUAUUGAUUUCUCUUUAUCUCUUUGUUUAGCCGUAACUAGGCUUUUCCUAAAUUACUUGAUAACUACUCAUUAGUCCAUUCUCAUAUCAAUAUUUUCCAUAAUCUUUCUUGGUUAUUUCCUUCAUCUUAACAUUCCUCUGCGCUAGAUCCUUAUUCAUCAAUAACAUCUCGGGCAGGAACCCUUACUUCUUCUCCCUGAUUGUGUUUGCAUAAUGUUCUGGAAUUGUAGUAUAUCAGUAGGAUUUGGAUAAGUGCAAUCUCAUCCCUUUUCUUAAUUUUUGAUCGCAUUAUUCCUUCACCAUUCCAAAAUUACUAAAUCACUUAAUUCUCACUUAAUGACACAUCAUUCAAUAUUCUCCCUUUUAGGGGAGUACUGAUGUUUAGCGCUACGAUGAUCUACCUAUAGAUGUUUUACCUCUUCAUCUAUGGCGUCUUCUCAAAUCAUCGAUGACCCUUCAAGGCUUCUAGUGCGUACCUUUGUAGUACUCAUAUCUAACUAUACUAUUCUAGAGUGCACCAUCUGGGUCUCUCACAAAGAGAUCUAUUAGCACAUUUGCAAUCCUUUGGAAAUGUCAACUAAUGCAAACAAUCCAUCCAUCAUUUUGGGUUACUCUUACCCCAUCCGGGUCCUGAUAUCUCGUCCUUCUCUAAAACCAUAUAUGUUAACUCCUAUAGGGAAUAAAUAAGAUUCAUGUGGUCAAUUGUACAUACCUUUGUUACUGUGGAAGGUAACUCAAAUUGCUUAUAUCUCUCUUCCUGAAUUGUAGAUAAUGUUCAUCUUUACUAAUUGCGUACCUUGUAUACUUCUUAAUCUUGCUUCUUUUACAUGUUGAAACUUCUACCUUCUGUUUCUCUCGUUGCUUUUCACCAUAUGGAUGGAUAAAUUUUUAUGCCUUAGGGCUCCUCAACAAGAAGCUUACAUGUCAUAGUACACACAUGAUCUGUUGAAGACGUUACAUUUACUCAUUAUAAGUAUCAUGCAGAAUCACGUUCCUCUUACUCAACUAUUCCAUAACUGUGUGCAAUCCCUUACCAACCGUCUUUCUAAAUGUAGGCAUUGUUGUAUUAUAAAUAAGACAGGGUUUAGGAAAUGGAGUUCUUACAAAAGAUCUCUACUACACGAUAUAGAAUACGAAUAAAGAGUGAAUGUCCUAAAUGCCCUGUAGCCUCCUGUUUAUACGUGUGGUGCACACCACACCCAUACAUAAGAGACAGCUUGACGCGGCUUGUGGACUCCCUAGGACAGAACUGCUUUGAUACCACUUUUGUCACGAUCCAAAAAGAUGGGCCGCGACGAGCACCCAAUGCCAUACUCGGCCCGAGCGUACCACUCAGUAACUAUGAAUUACGGAGGGGUAACCCUUAACUUAGGUUGUUAAGGCCAUAGCGUGAAUCAUCUUAAAAUAUCAUCUCUCAUAUCUGAAGGGUAAACAUACCCAAAAGCUCUCAUAUAUAUAUAUAUAUAUAUAACAUAUAUGCUGCAUGGAUAAUAAGCCCAACUCUUAAGUGCGUUCAUAACGUAACUAACUUUGAAUCAUUGUUCGAAUAAUUCCUUUCGUUUCAUCUCAUCUUUCUCNNNNNNNNNNNNNNNNNNNNNNNNNNNNNNNNNNNNNNNNNNNNNNNNNNNNNNNNNNNNNNNNNNNNNNNNNNNNNNNNNNNNNNNNNNNNNNNNNNNNNNNNNNNNNNNNNNNNNNNNNNNNNNNNNNNNNNNNNNNNNNNNNNNNNNNNNNNNNNNNNNNNNNNNNNNNNNNNNNNNNNNNNNNNNNNNNNNNNNNNNNNNNNNNNNNNNNNNNNNNNNNNNNNNNNNNNNNNNNNNNNNNNNNNNNNNNNNNNNNNNNNNNNNNNNNNNNNNNNNNNNNNNNNNNNNNNNNNNNNNNNNNNNNNNNNNNNNNNNNNNNNNNNNNUAUAUAUAUAGUAGAUGUUCAUGAAGGCCUUAUAUAUAUAUAUAUAUAUAUAUAUAUAUAUAUAAAAUUGUGCAGGCUGAUGAGGCCCCCGUGAAUGUCUACUGAAUUACCAAAAUAUACAGGACUCGUCUACAAGCCUCUAGAGAUAAUUGAAUUGUAUCAUGAUCGAGAUAGGGACUCGACCUACCCAUCAAACUUGUGUAUAUAUAUUAGUCUCCAAGUUAUUGACCUAGUAACUCCGAGAUAGUGGAGCGUACCAACCAACCAGACGUUUGACUCGGUCUACUGGGAAGAUCUAUCCAGUUGUCUAUCAGGACCUACAGGCAUGAAAUGCAGCAUCCCCCAGCAAAAAGGGCGUCAGUACUAAACAAUGUGCUGAGUAUGUAAGGUACUUAAUAACUGAAUGAUGAAACUGAACUGAUAAUAUAAUAAAUGAAAGUAACUAGAAGUCAAAGAUAAUUUGAAGAUAUGCAUACUUGCUAGUACUGAAUCAACUCUCUCAAUAUAAAAAGUAAAAUAGUUGUCCGACUUAUAAGGCUAGGUAUUUGUAUAACAGCUCUGCCAUAGUAGACACGCUGAUAGGAGCUUGGCCAUACAAGGCUCUAUGUCUUGGCCAUGCUGGCCUCUAUUGUAGGUGCUCGGUCAUAGUAGGCUCGACAUAUACUUAGAAUCUAAUGCGCAAUAGGGGCAUGCCCGUCGAUAAUAGGUUCAUGGUAAUAAAAAUAUAGUAAUAUUGUAUGUAUGGGCUCUCUUAUCUCUUGACUUGAAGAAGACAAUACUCAAUUAAAUAUGAUAAGGGAGAAGACUGUAACUUAUGAGAGUAGAAAAAUAUACAUAAAUUAAGGAAUAUGAAUUUCUCUUUAUGCCUUGUUAUCAAACUUGUGUAAUUACGAGAUCUUGCCAAAAUGAAGGAAGGUCUUAGCCUUAACAUACAUGUAUGAUCUCUUCUUUAUUACUCAACCAGACUCAACACAACUUCCUCCAACAAGUGAAAUGAUAUUGUCGUUAACAUAUAAUAUCGUACCAUCGUAUUUGGCUAGUCACAUGACUUAAGGAAAAUUGGGCAGCAACUCCCCUAUUUUAAUACAUCCUAAAGACCACUAAGGUUCAUCAAUAUCCCAACGAGGACAAAUAUAUCCAACACUAACAAAAACAACAAAAGAGUUCAAUAUAAGUUUCUCCGAUUAUCGUAACAAUCAUAUUUAACGGCAAGCUCGUUUUUUACUCAUGACAAAACAUAAACUAAAUCUAACUCUUAUUCCGUAAAUUAGUUUACAACCAUCAGAAUAUUAUACUUAUAUCUACCUUAUUAUUUUUAGUUUAAAACCUUCUCAAAAUGCCUUCCAAAAUAGCCUCAUACGUCUAGAACCUUAAUAUUUAUCGUUAAUUACUUCUUUUUCAUUUAUUCUUCUUCAUCAACUUAAUAAAAACCGAGGAAAGUUUACAAAAGCAGCCACAACACUAUUAAAUA
rnacentral:lncRNA from 1 species